rnacentral:rRNA from 1 species
CAGUCGCCGCGGUAAGACAGAGGAUGCAAGCGUUAUCCGGAAUGAUUGGGCGUAAAGCGUCUGUAGGUGGCUUUUCAAGUCCGCCGUCAAAUCCCAGGGCUCAACCCUGGACAGGCGGUGGAAACUACCAAGCUGGAGUACGGUAGGGGCAGAGGGAAUUUCCAGUGGAGCGGUGAAAUGCGUUGAGAUCGAAAAGAACACCAACAGCGAAAGCACUCUGCUGGGACGACACUGACACUAAGAGACGAAAGCUAGGGGAGCAAAUGGGAUUAGAUCCCCUGUAGUCCCUGUCUCUUAUACA